UCAGAGUAAUUGAAAACGAUAUAAAUUAAUAAGAGAUUGCUGAUUAACCAAAACAAUCAGAUAAAGAGGAGUUAUCUUUUUACUUGUUUUCUUAUGGAAAGAUUAGUAUUGGUGCUACCUCAAAUGGAAGAAGACGAAAAUUUAAAAUGAGUUCACAUUGAAUAUCGGAACCUGUGGCUGGUGAACAAUGUGUGAGGAAUCAAUGACUCCAGGAGGGACUGCGAUAAAACCUUCUCUUCCAGGUUGCAUAACGGGUGUUUGCCUGGGGAUUCCUCCAUGCAGACUGAAUAUUUGGGAAUAUUGGUGUUUCUAAAGAAGGUGGGAACCAUCAAAAUCUUUGUUUUUUUUGUUAUUUUAUUUGACAACCUGAGGUAAUACAAGAGUUUAGCAAGUUAACAAAACGAAGAUAAAGUAUGAAAAAUGCACAAAAGAAAAAUAAAUUUUCAUAAUUUUUUUUCCAUUCAACAAUCAUUCAUUGACAAUUCCGACAAUCCUUGGCACACAUAAGGUGGUGUUUCAAAAACAUCACCAGCCAUUGUCCAACUUUGCUGUUGCUAACCCUGGUUUAAAAAAAAAAAAAAAAAAAAAAAAAAAUCGUCUACGCGUAAAUGCAACUAUGAAAAAUUUAGUCGUAUGAUGAAAGCUGUUUGUACAUUGGUAGUGGUUCUUUUGUUUUAGUUGGCAUGAAUUUGGAAUGAUUUUUUUUUUAAAUUUUUAGGUCACUAUAAUAUUAAAAAAGUUUUGGCUGAAGUAUUAGAGAAAGAAGGACCUAUAAAAUUUUAAUGGAGUAGAAUGAGAAAAAUGUAUGGGGAGGGUAAACUCAACGUUUUAAUUAAAAAAAUUUAACCUCUCACUAUUUUCUCAGUUUAAACUUUAAGAAACCAUGUCAU